rfam:Takifugu rubripes chromosome, Chr_13
GUUCAGCACUCAUGUAAGUUGCUUUGGACAAAAGCAUCUGCUAAAUGACUAAAC